rnacentral:rRNA from 1 species
AGACAGGUUAGUUUUACCCUACUGAUGAUAUUACAAAUAGAUCAUUACAAUAGUAAUGCAACUCAGUACGAGAGGAACCGUUGCAUCACAUCGCUGGUAAUGGACUUGGCUGAAAAGCCAAUGGUUCAAAGCUAUCGUGUGUCGGAUUAUGGCUGAACGCCUCUAAGCCAGAAUCCUGCCUAGAAGUAAUGAUAUUGUUCAAUAUAUUUUAUACUUGUAAAUUAAUAUAUUUAGAGUACAAUUACAUAUGGUUUGUAAAUAGAAUGUGUAGACUAUACAUGUUUUAUUGAUGAAACUGUAAAUAAUAUUGAAAAUAUAUUGAGUUAGAUCCUUUGCAUACGACUUAAAUUAAAAACGGGGUAUUGUAAGGAGUAGAGUAAUCUUGUUAUUACGAUCUUCUGAGAUUAAGCCUUCGUUUUAUAGAUCU